GUGCUUGCUUCGGCAGCACAUAUACUAAAAUUGGAAUGAUACAGAGAAGAUUAGCAUGGCCCCUGCGCAAGGAUGACACUCAAAUUCAGGAAGAAUAAAGAAUGCUU
rnacentral:snRNA from 1 species